rnacentral:rRNA from 1 species
CUCCUACGGGAGGCAGCAGUGGGGAAUUUUGGACAAUGGGGGCAACCCUGAUCCAGCCAUGCCGCGUGAGUGAAGAAGGCCUUCGGGUUGUAAAGCUCUUUCAGUUGAGAAGAAAAGAUUGUGACUAAUAAUUGCAAUUCAUGACGGUAUCAACAGAAGAAGCACCGGCUAACUACGUGCCAGCGCCGCGGUAA